rnacentral:lncRNA from 1 species
GUGGAUAAGGCAGCACAAACUGCUGUAUUUCUGGCAUGUCCUGCCCUCAACCUUGCUUGUGAUUUUCAUUCUAAAUUUCAUGUAAAUUCUAAAACAUUAGCCUCUCGCUUUGGGAUCACCUGAGCAGAGGCCAGGGAGAUUGUCAAGGCCUGUCAGGCCUGCAUUCCUUUAUUACCUCAACCCUCCUUUGGCGUUAACUCACGAGGGAUACUCCCCCUACACGUUUAGCAGAUGGAUAUAACUCAUUUUGCCGAAUUUGGAAAAUUACAGUUUGUUCAUGUUUCAAUUGAUACUGCCUCUGGAGUCAUUUUUGCUUCUUUGUAUACUGGAGAAAAUGCCCAUCAUGUCAUAGCUCAUUGCUUUGAAGCAUGGGGUACUUGGGGUCAACCCAAAGAAUUAAAAUCUGAUAAUGGCCCUACUUAUACUUCCAAUACUUUUGUUAGCUUUUGUAAGGUGAUGGGCGUUCAUCUUGUACAUGGUGUUCCCUAUAACCCUCAGGGGCAGGGAAUAAUUGAACGUGCUCAUCGUACCUUAAAAGAAUGCUUAAAAAACAAAAAGGGGGAAUUGCCCUAGGGGUGACUCCCCGGGAACACCUUUCUAUAGCCUUAUUUACUCUUAAUUUUUUAAAUAAAGAUAAAUUUGAUUGUACUGCUGCAUAGAGAUUCAGUAAUCCUGAUGCAUCUCAGAAGGGAACUAUUAUGUGGAAGGACGUGUUGGAUGGCCAAUGUCAUGGGCCAGAUCCAGUGUUGGUGUGGGCGAGAGGGUCUGUUUGUGUGUUUCCCCAGGACCGCUGCCAGCCAUUGUGCGUACCUGAAUGACUGACUUGAGUGCUGAAGGAUGACCAGAGGUGUGAUGCUGAUUCUCCUGGGAAUAUUGAUGAUGGUGACAGGGUGCAGGAGUGAGGAGCUACAAUGGGGCAUCAUGUCGGUGUUUCCAAAGCUGCUACCCUUGACCCAUUCCACUCAAGUGUUUCCUCGUUUCUUUACCUCCAAUGCAUCUUUACAGGUACCCUUUUUACCUGAUGAUGAAGGAGUGGCACCGGUGACUGAACCUCUCCAGCUUGCCCUGCGAGGGGUAUUAUGCUUUCAUCUUAUUGUAAAUAUUUCUCAAAAUAGUGUGUGUGUGCAAUUGUAUAAUCAGACUGCUGCACGGUUUGAUAGACCUUUUUAAUAGUUCAACCCGAGCUAAUGCUACUUGGAUCAGAGGAACUUGGCCUGCGAGCAUACCUAAGGGUAAUGCUAGCAUUCUACCCCAACCAUGCUGGGCCCCGUUUUGCAGAGGCUUACGAGACUCUUGCCUCCAUGGACUGAAUGUCAAUCCCAAAAGGCCACUUGGGCAGUGAAAAAAUAUUUUACCUUUUUUCCAUACAUCAGUACCACGCAUAAUCAAAUGUUUGCAGGUUAUAAUUGGACAUAUCAAAGCACGGCACAGUGAAGGGCUAAUAAUCCUCUUAAUGUAUGGUUGUUAUGUGGGGUAAGUGGAAGCUGUACUGAUUUGUCACCUCUAAGUAUACUGAUGGGAGGGGGAUGGGGAAAUGCUAGUUUUUAUUGGAACGGGUCUGAUUUGUUUUAAAAUUCUGUGAAUGUUUUGGCUUUGAGAAAAAAUAUGUCUUUUGUGCCUACACCUGUGUGUAUUUGGCCCCCUUUUGUGUUUUUAGUAUAUAAUGAUAGUUAUGAUAAUGAGUUUAUUAAUCAUAGUAGUGAUAAUUGCUUUUAUAGUAUGUAUUGGAAUGCAUCUGUAUUUUCCUUGGCUGUGGUAACCCGUAUGCCUAGAUUUGUACCCUGGCCAGUGCAAGCUCCAUCUGUUAUGACACUGUUUAGACCUAAAAGAGAUUUUGAGAUUACUGCUGCCAUAGUCACAGCAAUAUCGCACCUCAAGGAACAGGCUGGCAUAGGAGGCUGGCAAUCAUCUGCAUUGCCACAGGAAUAAUGUCCCUGUGGUGCAUUUGCCAUAUGCAAAAAAAGGCAUACCCAUGCGCAGGCACUGUUGAAUCAGGCUUUUGCAGCCCUAGAGCUGGGACAAUCUUCUCAAGUGUGGCUUGGCAUGCUAGAGAAGUAGUCAAUGACGGGUAAGACUCCCUGGAGGUGUUACCAACCUAAGACAGGGACCAGACCACUGCUGUCGGUCCUCCCGAUGACGGGUAAGGAGCAUUAUCACAGGGGGCAACCUAAGACAGGCAUUCUCUCUGCCAAAAUAAUAAAUAAGGGGGAGAUGUGAGGAGCAGGUGUGGCCACCACCCCAAGAUGGCACCUGGGACAGCUGCCAGGUCUUAUAACCUGCGUCUGACUUCCUCAUUAUCUCAGACUUAGCCACAUCCCAGCCGCCUGCACUGUACAGAUGCCAUGCCUCGUCAGUUCGCCUGAGGUGUCCUCACUUGCUGUGAACCUAUGGACUGCUGUUAUGUGACUGGGGUGAUUGGGAGGAGUCAGUAGGGUAUUUAAGGCAUGCCCCAUGGUUGUUCGAGAAAUUCCUGUUCCUGCAUUGCAAUGCUAAGUGUUCCUGAAUAAACCUGCUUGAAGAAGGACAAU